UAUAUAUAUAUAUAUAUAUACCAAUGAACAGAGUACAAUUUCAUAUGACAAUAAAUUCUAUUGCUAUUCCUGCCAAAAUCUCACAACAGUAAUUAAGAAUGCAAGCUGCUCUAGCAAUGCUACGUUGUAAUUCACAAGUACUCGGACUGUAAAAUUUGAAUGGCUCCUACCACGCCAAAGCUAAUGAUACAACACUCAACACUUGCAUUGCUUGCAUACAUAAUUUCCAAGGUCAAUGAAUCUACCAUAUGCAAAAGGAGAGAAGUCCCGUCAAAUAUGCAUCUACCAAGGUCAUUUGGGUACGUACAUGUUGAAACCCUGCAAAUUGAUCAGCUGCACACCUGGACCUGGUGCUUCAGCUAGACCCGGGAGUAGGUUUCAUUUUCUUUGCAGAUGGAGACAUGAAUAGCUUUCUUACUGAAGUAAUGGGAUCAUCCACCUUAAUCACGGAAGUGCGUGAAGGAGAUUUUGUAGAAGGGUUAGAAUGCUCCUUUAGACGAAAUAAAGCAGAUAAUGUUUGCUUCCAACCAGCUGCCCCACUGUUUGUUGAUACAAUCCAGGGGCAAAAAUGUCUGUGCUGCCUGAUUGGAUCAAACUCCAUUCCUUCAUCUGAUGUUUCCUUUAGCUCCUUGCCAUAGGCUGUAUUGUCACUGUUCACCAUACUCUGUACUCUAUCUUUGGUGCCUUCCUGGCUUUUUGCUUGAGCGCUUGACAUGUUUUGGAGAUAAGAAUGAGUUUUACCUUUGGUUGAGUCUACCUUCGAAGUAAUAUCUUUGCCACAUAAAACAUCUGCUCCUGGAACCUCUUGCUGAUUGCAAAUUUCAGAGGCAACCAAAGCUAAUGAGUCACUUGUACUAUUCCCAUUUCCAAUGGCGACAGUAGCACCUGGGCCUGAAACAGAAGAUAUUAUAAUUUGAGAACUGCCGAAACUUCCUGCUGCUGAAUCAAGGGACCCAGCAUUUUGUGCAUUUUCAAGCAACCUAUAAUUCUGAUCAAAACUUUGUGCUAUAUCUGCUGUGCUCUCUGUUGUGCAUUCCCUAUUAGAAUCACACACUCCAAUUUCUGAAAAAAUUCCUUCUCCACUAAUGUCUGUGCCUUUCGAUGACAUGUAAAUAUCAGACUCCUUUCUAAGAGCAGAUCCUUUUUCACCACUUUCAAUGUUCAAACAAGAGGAUUGAUCUCCACUUGCAUAACUACACUGUCCCUGAUCAGCUGUUUUGCUCUUUAACAUCCCCACAGGUUCUGGAAGAGAAACUUGCUCACCAAAACUGUUUUCUGUAAUUCCCUUUUCUUUCACAAAUAUAUUUUUAUCAGAUAUAGACUGCACUUCUAGGUCGUUAAACGUACGAUCUCUAAAACCAGAGUCAUAAGAAAGCCUAGCCCUUAAAUUCCGGCCAAUAACAGGCAAUGAAAUUGUUGCUUUGAAGUUCUGUUUUGUAGGCGGUGGACCCCCGGCAAUUGUUAAAUUUAAAGUUGAUGGUCUAUCUAUGGAAGAUAGUACUCCAUUAGAGGCAGAAUUUGCAACAGCUCCUCUGUUGUCAACUUGACUUUCAUUGCCUGAAUCUUGUCCAUAAUUUUUUCUACUAUUCACUUCGGUGUAUCCAACCAAUCUAAACAACUCUACUGGCCUUGGAACUGUAGAAAAAGUCCAUAGUCCCACACUGGCUCCACAAAGCUUGCAAUCUAAAACAAUAGAGUGAGGAUCAGCUUGUAGCCCACUAAGCAAACUAAAAUCUUCAGUAGCCUCCAAAUUUUCAUUGGUUGUGGCAGAAUAAAAACUGAUGCUUGUAUUUUGUCCAUUAGUGACUAUAUUGGAUGAAUUCAAAAUGUCGGCAUCCUUAAUGAGCUUCUUUGGUCUUUCCUUGCAGUCAACAACAUAAGGCAGUGAUCGUGGUUCCCAGCCACAUAAACUUAUAAGCUUUUGUGCCUGAAAAUACAAGUUAGCAGAAUCAGCUUCACACUCAUUUCCAAGGUAUUCUACUUGAGAUAUGUUGAUAGAUCCAUUGCCAUAAUCCAAGGUUGGUGCCUCUCUAAGAAAUUCUUCCAGCUGUGAGCUUCUCAUGUAUUCCACGGCUGAAGAUGAAAUCACUGGAAGGGCUAAAAGUUGUAAGAGAGCAGAAGAACGUUCUCUGAAUUUAUCAACUAAAACAGGAGGAGGAGUGGGAGGAAACUCUGCCAAUCUUUCGUCACAGGCAUUAUCAAUCCAAGGACACAGUAAUUUGUGUCCACUAUCCAGCUUUAAGCUAAAUACCAUGGCUGCCUUCUCAACUUGCUGCUGCGUCCAAGAUAAUGGGGUGGAAAAAAGAAGACGAGCUGCACAUGCUUCACAGCCUAUAAUAUCCAUAUCUAAGUUGAUCCAUCCCCUCCUUGCACAAUUUACAGCACUCACCACCUUGGGCUUAGCAAACCAAGUCAUGGACCUAAACGUUGCCACCCUCCUCAUGAGAUCUCCUCGGUCCCAGGGUCUGCACAAUGGAGCUUCAGCUGGAGCUAAUGAACGCUGAGAUGACCCAACCACAUCCCCUCUUGUUCUAGGUUCCACUAGUGCCAACGCAGACUCUGGGUUGGGUCUCUUUUUCCCCCUUGAUGACUCCACUCCAGAUGAACUGGAAGGAUUGGAAAGGGAUUUAGGAGCGUGAAAGAGCUUGUCCAUGAUGGACUGAAAUCUCUUCUCUGGAUCAUCUGCCAUUUUCUUCUUCGCUAGAACUUCUUUUUCGCGCAAGAGAAGAUGUGUUGAGCUUUGAAACAUCGAAA
rnacentral:misc_RNA from 1 species